AUGAACGCUAGCGACAGGCCUAACACAUGCAAGUCGAGGGGCAGCGGAGAGGUAGCAAUACCUUUGCCGGCGACCGGCGCACGGGUGAGUAACACGUAUGCAAUCCACCUGUAACAGGGGGAUAACCCGGAGAAAUCCGGACUAAUACCCCAUGAUAUGGGCUCUCCGCAUGGAGGGUUCAUUAAAGAGAGCAAUUUUGGUUACAGACGAGCAUGCGCUCCAUUAGCCAGUUGGCGGGGUAACGGCCCACCAAAGCGACGAUGGAUAGGGGUUCUGAGAGGAAGGUCCCCCACAUUGGAACUGAGACACGGUCCAAACUCCUACGGGAGGCAGCAGUGAGGAAUAUUGGUCAAUGGUCGGCAGACUGAACCAGCCAAGUCGCGUGAGGGAAGACGGCCCUACGGGUUGUAAACCUCUUUUGUCGGAGAGUAAAGUACGCUACGUGUAGCGUAUUGCAAGUAUCCGAAGAAAAAGCAUCGGCUAACUCCGUGCCAGCAGCCGCGGUAAUACGGAGGAUGCGAGCGUUAUCCGGAUUUAUUGGGUUUAAAGGGUGCGUAGGCGGCACGCCAAGUCAGCGGUGAAAUUUUCGGGCUCAACCCGGACUGUGCCGUUGAAACUGGCGAGCUAGAGUGCACAAGAGGCAGGCGGAAUGCGUGGUGUAGCGGUGAAAUGCAUAGAUAUCACGCAGAACCCCGAUUGCGAAGGCAGCCUGCUAGGGUGCGACAGACGCUGAGGCACGAAAGCGUGGGUAUCGAACAGGAUUAGAUACCCUGGUAGUCCACGCUGUAAACGAUGAUUACUAGGUGUGGGGGGUCUGACCCCUUCCGUGCCGGAGUUAACACAAUAAGUAAUCCACCUGGGGAGUACGACCGCAAGGUUGAAACUCAAAGGAAUUGACGGGGGCCCGCACAAGCGGAGGAACAUGUGGUUUAAUUCGAUGAUACGCGAGGAACCUUACCCGGGCUCAAACGCAGGGGGAAUAUAUAUGAAAGUAUAUAGCUAGCAAUAGUCACCUGCGAGGUGCUGCAUGGUUGUCGUCAGCUCGUGUCGUGAGAUGUUGGGUUAAGUCCCGCAACGAGCGCAACCCCUGUGAUUAGUUGCCAGCGAGUAAUGUCGGGAACUCUAAUCAAACUGCCGGUGAUAAAUCGGAGGAAGGUGGGGACGACGUCAAAUCAUCAUGCCCUUUAUGUCUUGGGCUACACACGUACUACAAUGGCGUUAAACAAAGAGAAGCAAGACCGCGAGGUGGAGCAAAACUCAAAAACAACGUCUCAGUUCAGAUUGCAGGCUGCAACUCGCCUGCAUGAAGUCGGAAUUGCUAGUAAUCGCGGAUCAGCAUGCCGCGGUGAAUACGUUCCCGGGCCUUGUACACACCGCCCGUCACACCAUGAGAGUUGGAAAUACCCGAAGCCUGUGAGCUAACCUAUGAGGCAGCAGUCGGAGGUAGAGCCAAUGAUUGGGGUG
rnacentral:rRNA from 1 species